AACGAACGCUGGCGGCAUGCCUAACACAUGCAAGUCGAACGAACCCUUCGGGGUUAGUGGCGCACGGGUGCGUAACGCGUGGGAAUCUGCCCUUUGCUUCGGAAUAACAGUUAGAAAUGACUGCUAAUACCGGAUGAUGUCUUCGGACCAAAGAUUUAUCGGCAAAGGAUGAGCCCGCGUAGGAUUAGGUAGUUGGUGGGGUAAAGGCCUACCAAGCCGACGAUCCUUAGCUGGUCUGAGAGGAUGAUCAGCCACACUGGGACUGAGACACGGCCCAGACUCCUACGGGAGGCAGCAGUGGGGAAUAUUGGACAAUGGGCGCAAGCCUGAUCCAGCAAUGCCGUGUGAGUGAUGAAGGCCUUCGGGUCGUAAAGCUCUUUUACCAGGGAUGAUAAUGACAGUACCUGGAGAAUAAGCUCCGGCUAACUCCGUGCCAGCCGCCGCAGUAAUAC
rnacentral:rRNA from 1 species